rnacentral:rRNA from 1 species
UACGUAGGGACCAAGCGUUGUUCGGAUUUACUGGGCGUAAAGGGCGCGUAGGCGGCGUGUUAAGUCAGCUGUGAAAUCUCCAAGCUUAACUUGGAACGGUCAGCUGAUACUGAUGUGCUAGAGUGCAGAAAGGGCAACCGGAAUUCUUGGUGUAGCGGUGAAAUGCGUAGAUAUCAAGAGGAACACCUGAGGCGAAGGCGGGUUGCUAGGCUGACACUGACGCUGAGGCGCGAAAGCUAGGGUAGCAAACGGG